AGGCCAGAAUGAGUGUCAAUGUUGGGUUCAUGGAAUAAUAUUGCACUCGUCCCGGCCUAU
rnacentral:pre_miRNA from 1 species